UGAACUGCAUUUUAUACACCUGUACUGAUUUGUGUGCACGUUUAUGUGGCAAAACAAUUUACAAGCAGCACUGUGGGAACUGCAGAAUAUAGCGUUUGGAUACUUAAUUUGUCCCAAUUGGAGUUCCGUAAGUCUCGGACAAUUCGGUUCUAGGAGGACGCCAUGAAGAUGACACAGCAAAAAAACGAUGCCUCGGAUUCAACGAUAACAAUUGACGAUGUUCAAAAUCUUGUCAAAAAGAAAGACUCAAUUGAAGAGCAGAUUAAGGAAUAUUAUGACGUACUUAAAGACCAAGGUGUAGGAACGGAAGGGCCUUUGGUGGACGAAGAAGGCUAUCCACGUGCAGAUGUUGACGUGCGCCAGGUUCGAACGGCAAGGCACAGCAUCUCCUGUCUCCAGAACGACCACAAGGCCAUCAUGGUGGAGAUCGAGGAGGCCCUGCACAGGCUGCAUGCUGCGGAGAAGGCCAAGCGCGAGGAGGAGGGGGCCCCGGCCUCCGCCCAGGCCAUGGAGCAAGAUGCCCCCCUGCCACCCCCCUUCGCCCGGGUGGACACCAUCACGCCAGGGUCCCCCGCCAGCCAGGCGGGAUUGUGCGUUGGUGAUGAAAUCAUUGAAUUUGGCUCAGUCAACACAGGAAACUUCAAAACCCUGCAGAACAUCGCCUCUAUCGUCCAGCACAGCGAAGGGCUUCUGUACCACAGAAAUCGCUGAGUAUCGCAGUGAUCCGGGGGGAGCAGAAAGUGCACCUGGGCCUCACUCCACAGCGCUGGUCUGGGAGAGGCCUCCUGGGAUGCAACAUUGUUCCUCUGAGGAGAUGAGAAUAUGGAGAGUGUCAUACUUCUGACCGAAGAUCUUCAAUGGCAUGUCUUCAAAUUUGGGCGCCAUGCUUAAUAAUAUGUUUUUUCCAGAGCAAAAUUCCGGUGUGGAAUUGUUUGUGCUUUGCAGUUGGAUUGUAUUGUGAUGCACCUCUUGCUCAUGGUUCUUCAGCAAUAGAAGCUGCUCUCGCCUGCCUGGGAGGGGCACUGGUGGCUGGGAGGAGGUGGGGGUGUUAACAGUUGAAAAGCACUGGAUGAUGGGAAAUAUAAAUUGUGUUUCAUACCGUGUGGGACCAUGCAGAGUUUCAGUGGAGAGCGUUGCCUUUGUUGAUGGGCAAAUCUAAUAAAUUAUUGCAUUCA